rnacentral:rRNA from 1 species
GAUGAACGCUGGCGGCGUGCCUAAUACAUGCAAGUAGAACGCUGAAGGAAGGAGCUUGCUCUUUCCGGAUGAGUUGCGAACGGGUGAGUAACGCGUAGGUAACCUGCCUGGUAGCGGGGGAUAACUAUUGGAAACGAUAGCUAAUACCGCAUAACAGUAGAUGUUGCAUGAUAUCUACUUAAAAGGUGCAAUUGCACCACUACCAGAUGGACCUGCGUUGUAUUAGCUAGUUGGUGAGGUAACGGCUCACCAGGGCGACGAUACAUAGCCGACCUGAGAGGGUGAUCGGCCACACUGGGACUGAGACACGGCCCAGACUCCUACGGGAGGCAGCAGUAGGGAAUCUUCGGAAAUGGACGGAAGUCUGACCGAGCAACGCCGCGUGAGUGAAGAAGGUUUUCGGAUCGUAAAGCUCUGUUGUAAGAGAAGAACGAGUGUGAGAGUGGAAAGUUCACACUGUGACGGUAUCUUACCAGAAAGGGACGGCUAACUACGUG